rnacentral:misc_RNA from 1 species
AUGUAAAUCAUAACAAUACGCAAUCUUGAAUGAAUUCGCUUGUGGUGGGGAUCAUACUUCAUUUUUAGCGUCAUCAUGUCAGAAGUUCGAAGCGAAACAAAAUUGAUCAAGUCUAAGGAUGAUAAAAGUAUAUUUUGCAAGCAUUGGUUUUCAGAUGAAAAGCCCAGAGCUUUGAUAUUUUUGUGCCACGGCUUGGGAGAGCAUUGUCUAUGGUAUGAUGAUAUAGCAGAAGCACUUGUCAAGACUGGAUUUUAUGUCUUUGCACAUGAUCAUGUUGGGCAUGGUCAGAGUGAAGGCACCCACAACCACGUAGACGAUUUCUCCGAGUACACCUCGGUCAUCUACCAGCACUGUAAUGAGGUCAAGGACAAACACCAAGGACUUCAACUCUUUAUAUUUGGACAUUCUAUGGGUGGAGCCAUUACUUUACUGACCGCCACUGGACAGCCAGACUUCUUUGAUGGAGUGAUAACCUCAUCGCCAGCCAUACAUGCAACCCCAGGGCCAUUGGUCUCAAUUAAAAUAUUUGUUGGAAAAAUUUUGGCACGUUUCUUUCCAUUGCUCAAAAUAAGCGGCAUAGCUUCCUGGAUGAUUUCACGAGACAAAGAGCAGGGACAGAAUAAGAUUAUCUCUUCAACCACCUCAAAUACAUGUGUUUCGACCAUGGGUCAAGAGAUAUGAAGAGGACCCUAUGGUGCAUCCAUAUGUCAGAGUGAAAUGGGGAUCGGCUUGGAUCGAGUGCGUGAAGAAAAUAGAGGAGCGAAUGGAGUCCAUUGAGUUUCCAUUCUUGGCGCUCCAUGGAGAUGCAGAUGCCAUUUGUGACGUCCAGGGAUCCCAAAUGUUGUAUGACAAGGCCAAGAGUGAGGACAAAGAAAUCAAGAUUUACAAAGGGUUUUACCAUUCGCUACUUUUGGAACCAAAUGAAGACAGGCAGAGGGUACAGGAUGACAUACUAAACUGGCUGAAAAAGAGGAUUUAGAAAGAAGUUUUGAAAGA